rnacentral:rRNA from 1 species
CCUACGGGUGGCAGCAGUGAGGAAUAUUGGUCAAUGGACGAGAGUCUGAACCAGCCAAGUAGCGUGAAGGAUGACUGCCCUAUGGGUUGUAAACUUCUUUUAUAAAGGAAUAAAACGAGGCACGUGUGCCUUUUUGCAUGUACUUUAUGAAUAAGGAUCGGCUAACUCCGUGCCAGCAGCCGCGGUAAUACGGAGGAUCCGAGCGUUAUCCGGAUUUAUUGGGUUUAAAGGGAGCGUAGAUGGGUUGUUAAGUCAGUUGUGAAAGUUUGCGGCUCAACCGUAAAAUUGCAAUUGAUACUGGCAGUCUUGAGUACAGUUGAGGUAAGCGGAAUUCGUGGUGUAGCGGUGAAAUGCUUAGAUAUCACGAAGAACCCCGAUUGCGAAGGCAGCUUACCAAACUGUGACUGACAUUGAUGCUCGAAAGUGUGGGUAUCAAACAGGAUUAGAUACCCGAGUAGUC